UAGUUAGUUGGUGGGUAAAGGCCUACCAAGACAAUGAUGCAUAGCCGAGUUGAGAGACUGAUCGGCCACAUUGGGACUGAGACACGGCCCAAACUCCUACGGGAGGCUGCAGUAGGGAAUCUUCCACAAUGGGCGAAAGCCUGAUGGAGCAACGCCGCGUGUGUGAUGAAGGCUUUCGGGUCGUAAAGCACUGUUGUAUGGGAAGAAAAGUUAAGGUAGGGAAUGACCUUAGCCUGACGGUACCAUACCAGAAAGGGACGGCUAAAUACGUGCCAGCAGCCGCGGUAAUACGUAUGUCCCGAGCGUUAUCCGGAUUUAUUGGGCGUAAAGCGAGCGCAGACGGUUGGUUAAGUCUGAUGUGAAAGCCCGGAGCUCAACUCCGGAAAGGCAUUGGAAACUGGUUAACUUGAGUGCAGUAGAGGUAAGUGGAACUCCAUGUGUAGCGGUGGAAUGCGUAGAUAUAUGGAAGAACACCAGCGGCGAAGGCGGCUUACUGGACUGUAACUGACGUUGAGGCUCGAAAGUGUGGGUAGCAAACAGGAUUAGAUACCCUGGUAGUCCACACCGUAAACGAUGAACACUAGGUGUUAGGAGGUUUCCGCCUCUUAGUGCCGAAGCUAACGCAUUAAGUGUUCCGCCUGGGGAGUACGACCGCAAGGUUGAAACUCAAAGGAAUUGACGGGGACCCGCACAAGCGGUGGAGCAUGUGGUUUAAUUCGAAGCAACGCGAAGAACCUUACCAGGUCUUGACAUCCUUUGAAGCUUUUAGAAAUAGAAGUGUUCUCUUCGGAGACAAAGUGACAGGUGGUGCAUGGUCGUCGUCAGCUCGUGUCGUGAGAUGUUGGGUUAAGUCCCGCAACGAGCGCAACCCUUAUUGUUAGUUGCCAGCAUUCAGAUGGGCACUCUAGCGAGACUGCCGGUGACAAACCGGAGGAAGGCGGGGACGACGUCAGAUCAUCAUGCCCCUUAUGACCUGGGCUACACACGUGCUACAAUGGCGUAUACAACGAGUUGCCAACCUGCGAAGGUGAGCUAAUCUCUUAAAGUACGUCUCAGUUCGGACUGCAGUCUGCAACUCGACUGCACGAAGUCGGAAUCGCUAGUAAUCGCGGAUCAGCACGCCGCGGUGAAUACGUUCCCGGGUCUUGUACACACCGCCCGUCACACCAUGGAAGUUUGUAAUGCCCAAAGCCGGUGGCCUAACCGUAAGGAGGAACCGUCUAAGGC
rnacentral:rRNA from 1 species